CCUACGGGUGGCAGCAGUGGGGAAUAUUGGACAAUGGGCGAAAGCCUGAUCCAGCCAUGCCGCGUGUGUGAAGAAGGCCUUCGGGUUGUAAAGCACUUUCAGUGGGGAAGAAAGCCUUGGGGCUAAUACCCUCGAGGAAGGACAUCACCCACAGAAGAAGCACCGGCUAACUCCGUGCCAGCAGCCGCGGUAAUACGGAGGGUGCGAGCGUUAAUCGGAAUUACUGGGCGUAAAGCGCGCGUAGGCGGUCUGAUAAGCCGGUUGUGAAAGCCCCGGGCUCAACCUGGGAACGGCAUCCGGAACUGUCAGGCUAGAGUGCAGGAGAGGAAGGUAGAAUUCCCGGUGUAGCGGUGAAAUGCGUAGAGAUCGGGAGGAAUACCAGUGGCGAAGGCGGCCUUCUGGACUGACACUGACGCUGAGGUGCGAAAGCGUGGGUAGCAAACAGGAUUAGAUACCCGGGCAGUC
rnacentral:rRNA from 1 species